AGACCAGUGACAGUAUGACAAUCAGAGGCAAGCAGGAGGUGCAGUAGGCAGAUGGGGGCUUGGAUUGUGACAUCAUAGGAAAAUCACCCUUUCAACAUCUCCUGGUGUCCCAUGCCAUCAGUUCCAAAUGAAAGAAUAGUUCAUUUGAUCUGCUCUACUGAUACCGAAGAGAAGACAAUAUGGCACUGUAACCAGAGUUUCAUCUUGAGUCAGAUGCCAUGCCACGGAGCCAAAUCGGAUACUACAUUGCUGGUGGGCAUGUGAUGCUUCACAAAAUUUCAUAGGAUCCUGAAGGCCUACUUAUGUGAUCAGUUUAUCUCAAAGAUUUUGUUAAAAAUAUAAA